rnacentral:lncRNA from 1 species
AAAUUGGAGGGGACGCUGGUGGACGGAUUGGGUGCAAGGAGUUGGUGUUGAUGGAGGAGCAGGACGCCAGAGUCCCAGCCCUGGAACCGUUCAGAGUGGAGCAGGUUGUCAGAACUCAGGGUGCAGAGGGUGAAGGAGGCAGGCUGAUUCCUGAGUUCUUGGGUUGGGACUGCCCCCUUCCACCAAAUUCAUUCUUACUGUCAGAGUCCAUUCUGGAAUGGCACUGGUCCCUUGACUUUAGACCCUGACCUGUCUGAGGACAUCCUGAGCCUGUCUCCAGGCAUAGGGGUUGCUCUGUGAUGAUAUGUCCUCUGUGUGGGUUGAAGGGCCACACCUUCAGGGGGUCUUUCUAUCCUAGGCACCACCUGUAAUCUACUAUGUCCCUGACUUCAUCUCCAAAGAAGAGGAGGAGUAUUUGCUUCGACAGGUUUUUAAUGCCCCAAAGCCAAAGUGGACCCAGCUCUCUGGGAGAAAGUUACAGAACUGGGGGGGGCCCUCAGGACCCCAUUGCCUUCCCCAGGUGGGCUU